rnacentral:misc_RNA from 1 species
GCCGAUUUAGAUGCACAAUUUAACGUGAGUGCUUCUUUUGCUGCAUUAUGUUAAUUUAAAUUUGGAAGUUUUAUAUUCCUAUGUAUGAACUGCCUAAUUGUAUUUAUGAGCAACAAAAGAGAAAUUGUAAUUUUUGUAUUGAAGUGGCUUUGUUUUGAUGACCCAUACUUGAUUCUUAGAUGUGUCUUAAAGUAGUUUGCAUUCUUCAGAGAGAUUCAUAUUUGAUUCUAUUUUCUCUUUACAAAAUAAUUAGAAGGUGUUUAUUUUUCUAGUUCUGAGUAUGGGUGGGGAUAGCCCAGCUGG